UACGUAGGUGGCAAGCGUUGUCCGGAUUUACUGGGCGUAAAGAGCGCGCAGGCGGUCGUUCAAGUCGAGUGUGAAAGCCCUCGGCUCAACUGGGGAGGGUCACUCGAUACUGAUCGACUCGAAGGCAGAAGAGGGAAGCGGAAUUCCCGGUGUAGUGGUGAAAUGCGUAGAUAUCGGGAGGAACACCAGUGGCGAAGGCGGCUUUCUGGUCUGCUCUUGACGCUGAGGCGCGAAAGCUAGGGUAGCAAACGGG
rnacentral:rRNA from 1 species